UACGUAGGGUGCAAGCGUUAAUCGGAAUUACUGGGCGUAAAGCGUGCGCAGGCGGUGAUGUAAGACAGGUGUGAAAUCCCCGGGCUUAACUGGGAGGGUGCGCCGAAUACUGAAUGACUUGGAGUGCGGGAGAGGUGAGUGGAAUUCCUGGUGUAGCGGUGAAAUGCGUAGAUAUCAGGAGGAACACCGGUGGUGUAGACGGCUCACUGGACCGUAACUGACGCUGAGACACGAAAGCGUGGGUAGCAAACAGG
rnacentral:rRNA from 1 species